GUCGAGAAUCUUCCGCAAUGCGCGAAAGCGUGACGGAGCGACACCGCGUGAUGGAUGAAGUCCUUCGGGGCGUAAACAUCUUUUAUAAAGGAGGAAAUUUUUGACGUUACUUUAUGAAUAAGGGGCUCCCAAUCUCGUGCCAGCAGGAGCGGUAAUACGAGAGCCUCAAGCGUUAUCCGGAAUCAUUGGGCGUAAAGGGUGCGUAGGUGGUUUGAUUAGUCUCCCGUUAAAACUUCGAGCUUAACUCGAAAAGAGCGGGGGAAACGGUCAAACUAGAGUAUGUGAGAGGUGUGUGGAACUCAUGGUGUAGGGGUGAAAUCCGUUGAUAUCAUGGGGAACACCAAAAGCGAAGGCAGCACACUGGCACAUCACUGACACUGAGGCACGAAACCUAAGGUAGCGAAUGGGAUUAGAUACCCUAUAGUCC
rnacentral:rRNA from 1 species